GUCAUUGCGGCGACCGUGAAGACUUAAAAUAGGGACAAACAUGGUCGGGCAAAAGGAGCGGGGUCCCGCCUUCAGGUGUUUGUGACUCAAAUGAGGGUGUGGGUGCCCCGCGGUGGGGUCUGAACCUUCCUGGGGUGUGCAGAGACGAAAGAAGCCCAGAUUCAAGUCGUCUCGUUCCCGUUUUGGCACAAGUUGCCCUGGCUGUCUCAUGAGAGAGAGAACUGGGACCCUCCCGGCCCCAAUGAAUGUAGUGUCUUGCUCCGGGUGUCCUGGGGCUACUUUCUAUGUAAAGGCGGGACGUGGGAGGAUGAGACAGUGUAACGUCAGACAAGGGUGUUGACUCUGCAGCACAAAACCAGUAGUUUGUAGAGAUGAACCAGGUGUGGUGUUGUAUCUGCUAGAGAGGCUACUGAGGCAAAACUCAAGAGAUCCAGAUCCCAUCUUGGGGACACUCUAGAUUGACAUUGGAAAAGCCAUUUCCUGUUGAGUCCAAAAUGAAGAGAGUGCAAAUAAAGAGAAGGCAGGAAUCACAAGCCCUUGACCUUUAUACCUUUAUACCUUGACCUUUAUACCACCUACAGGAUCCUGCACCCAGAUUUCAUCUGUACAAUCAGCUUCUUCAAAGAGAGAGAGGCUGUUGAAUUAGUAUCCAUGAGGGCACAAUACUAGAAAUGUGUAAAGCUAUAUGUUUUUAAGUCCUUGAAAGUCAUCAUCUAUAAAGGAGACUUUGGGGUAUGCUUUGGGGAUGUUAAGAGGUAGAAUAUCAUUUCCGCUUCUUACUAGAGUCUGAAAAAAUUGAUUUUUCAUCAGUGAGUUUGAUUUUGUCAUCUUCAAAAUGAGAAAAAAUGAGGCCUUCCUCAUAGAGUCAUUGUGAGAAAAUUAUACAAAAA